rnacentral:piRNA from 1 species
UCAGGGCAGCUAGCUCUUUCUACAUACCC